UUACCAAUUACCCACCGUCUCGCCAGCCUAGCCCAUUCCUCUGUUUUCUACUUUUCUUCCCUCCAUUCAAAUCUUGACGUUCACUCUCUCUCUCCCUGGAAAUUGCUGAUUCAUUAUGUUCUUCAAUUUCAUUUCGUAAUUCGGUACCUCUACCUACAAUUCAAAUCUCUUCGCUCUCGCUGGAUCAAGGUGUCAGUCUCUUAUUAAGCAGCUGGAAUUGAAAGCCUUUGGUGAGAUGGAAUCAUGUUUUAGAUUUUCAAGAACAGAAAUACGUACCAAUUUGAGUUGGUGUUUUUAGGUGCAAUCAUAUGUUAAUACUUUUGAUUUUUGGAGCCCUGUCCCAUUGAGGAGUAUUAUAGAAUGAUAUGUUCAUGUUAUGGUCAAUGGGACUUGUUCUUUUUGCUGUUUUAUAGAUGGGCAAGGUUGAAACUCAUAGUACAAUGACAUGAACAAAUCAAUGUGGCACAUUGGUGUUAUCCUGAUGAAAAAACUCGUCCACUGUUGCAUAGGGUAUAGAGUUGAUUGGAGAAAACUGCUUUUUGUUGGGGUCAUUUUGACAAUAUUUGGCAUCGUGUUUCAAAUGUUUAUACUUCCUUAUCCACUGCACAUGUUGUUUCUGUCACCUCCUGUUAAAUUUUCAUCAUAUGAAUCUUUGAAUGGUACAAUUCCAUUGAGGGAGGCCUUAACUGAGGCAAGGGCUGAACAGUUUCAACUUGUUCAAGCUGGCCCCAUUGUUUCAGUGAAUUCUUCUAUUAAGUUGAUUGAAUCAGUGCCAGUUGAGCAGAUGAGGACGGCCACUCCUCUAAGGAGAAACUCUACAUCUAGAAGGAGAAAAAAGAUUAAACCAGAAGGCAAUCCAAAAGUUCUACCUCCUCCUCCUCCUCCUCCCCCUCCUCGUAAAACCAUUCCAUCUCACUUGCAGAGAUACAUUUGGUCCUUGUCACCAAAUGAGGCGCUUGUGUAUGCCAAAAAAGAGAUUGAACAUGCCCCUAUGGUUGUUGAUGAUCCUGAUCUGUUUACUCCCUUAUUUCAGAACGUCUCUGUUUUCAAAAGGAGCUAUGAAUUGAUGGAAAUGAUACUUAAAGUGUUCAUUUACCGUGAUGGAGCAAGGCCUAUUUUUCACCAACCUCAUCUCAGAGGAAUUUAUGCUUCUGAAGGAUGGUUCAUGAGGUUGAUGGAGGCAAACAGGCAGUUUGUGACAAGAGACCCUGAAAAGGCUCACUUAUUUUAUCUGCCAUACAGUGCACGCCAGCUGGAGACAGCACUCUAUGUACCUGAUUCACAUGAUAUGAAACCGCUAUCAAUCUUCCUGAGGGACUAUGUGAACAUGAUUGCAGCAAAGUAUCCCUUCUGGAAUCGCACACAUGGGUCAGAUCAUUUCCUUGUUGCUUGCCAUGACUGGGGCCCUUAUACAGUUACUGAGCACGAGGAACUAUGCAAAAACACCAUUAAAGCUCUAUGCAACGCUGACCAAUCGGAAGGAAUCUUUAUUGGGAGCAAGGAUGUUUCCCUUCCAGAAACUACCAUAAGGACUCCUAGAAAACCUCUUAGAAAUGUAGGUGGGAAUAGAGUAUCACAACGUCCAAUCCUUGCGUUUUUUGCAGGAAACAUGCAUGGUAGGGUCCGGCCCACACUUCUUAAGUACUGGAGUGACAAGGAUGAAGACAUGAAAGUUUAUGGACCUUUACCAAUUAGAGUCUCCAGAAAGAUGUCUUAUGUUCAACACAUGAAAAGUAGUAAAUACUGUAUAUGCCCAAUGGGUCAUGAAGUGAACAGCCCUAGAAUUGUUGAGGCAAUUUAUUAUGAGUGUGUUCCAGUAAUUAUUGCAGAUAAUUUUGUCCUUCCUUUUAGUGAAGUACUAGACUGGAGUGCAUUCUCUGUGGUUGUGGCUGAGAAAGACAUUCCCAAGCUGAAGGAGAUUUUAUUAGCUAUACCAAUGAGAAGAUAUCUUAAAAUGCAAAUUAAUGUGAAGAUGGUGCAGAAGCAUUUUCUUUGGAACCCAAGACCAAUUAGAUAUGAUUUGUUUCAUAUGAUUCUGCAUUCGAUAUGGUUUAGCAGGCUGAACCAGAUUCAGAUCCCAAGUUCAUAGUAAAUUUUUUAAGUGUUCCUAUGAAUUCAUAUUGGUUUUCAUAGUAUGGUGUAGAAGUUGAAUGGAUCCAAAACUAGCAAGCGCGCUACAUCCAAGAAUGUAGGUGCUUAGCUACUGAGAUUGAGAAGGAAUCCAGAAACACCUUGUUGCCUCAGAGCUGGUUUGAUUUUCACUAAUUUUAAGUGCUUUGAAAUGCAAGCUCGAAUGCAUAUUUGAUGGGAGGAGCACAAAGCCAGAAUGGGGAUUCAUGAUGAAGGAAAGACAAAAGAAAAAGAGGAGUCGUCAUAAUUAUGGUAAUGAGUAAUGACCGUGCAAUUUUUUUUUUGGCUGAAUAGUAAUAACGUGUACUUGUCACUUGACCUCAUUGAUAACGGGAUGGGGUAAAUUUAUUUCGUUGUACAAUCAUAUUUAUAUCUAGGGAGAGAAGGUUAUAGACUUAUAGGGAUUAGGGAGAGAGAGUGAUCAUUUACAGCUUCUUUUAUUUAAGGAAGCGACUUUACGAUCUUAUAAAGCAAUUCAUAAUUUCUACA